rnacentral:rRNA from 1 species
GACGAACGCUGGCGGCGUGCUUAACACAUGCGAGUCGAACGGAAAGGCCCUGCUUUUGUGGGGUGCUCGAGUGGCGAACGGGUGAGUAACACGUGAGUAACCUGCCCUUGACUUUGGGAUAACUUCAGGAAACUAGGGCUAAUACCGGAUAGGAGCUCCUGCUGCAUGGUGGGGGUUGGAAAGUUUCGGCGGUUGGGGAUGGACUCGCGGCUUAUCAGCUUGUUGGUGGGGUAGUGGCUUACCAAGGCUUUGACGGGUAGCCGGCCUGAGAGGGUGACCGGCCACAUUGGGACUGAGAUACGGCCCAGACUCCUACGGGAGGCAGCAGUGGGGAAUAUUGCACAAUGGGCGGAAGCCUGAUGCAGCAACGCCGCGUGCGGGAUGACGGCCUUCAGGUUGUAAACCGCUUUCGCCUGUGACGAAGCGUGAGUGACGGUAAUGGGUAAAGAAGCACCGGCUAACUACGUG